AUUGAACGCUAGCGGGAUGCUUUACACAUGCACGUCGAACGAGUGGCGGACGGGUGAGUAAUAUAUCGGAACGUGCCCAGUAGCGGGGGAUAACUACUCGAAAGAGUGGCUAAUACCGCAUACUAUUGGCGCGGCCGAUAUCGGAUUAGCUAGUUGGUGGGGUAAAGGCUGACCAAGGCAACGAUCCGUAGCUGGUUUGGGAGGACGACCAGCCACCCGGGGACGGAGACACGGCCCAGACUCCUACGGGAGGCAGCAGUGGGGAAUUGUGGAGAAUGGGGGAAACCCUGAUGCAGCGACGCCGCGUGGGGGAGAAGGCUUUCGGGUUGUAAGCCUCUUUCGCUAUCGAACGGGUAGGUGGAGAAGAAGCGCCGGCUAACUACGUGCCAGCAGCCGCGGUAAUUC
rnacentral:rRNA from 1 species